rnacentral:misc_RNA from 1 species
CCGAGUUUACAACUCCCAAACCCCUGUGAACAUACCUAUAUGUUGCCUCGGCGGAUCAGCCCGCGCCCCGUAAAACGGGACGGCCCGCCGCAGGAUCCACAAACUCUGUUUUUAUUGUAACUUCAGAGUAACAAAACAAAUAAAUCA